CGGGACACGCGGCGUGACAACCCCACCUCCCGGAUGCCCCGCCCCCACUCCCUUCCCCUCCAGUACCCUCUUAUCCCCUUUUCCUACAUCUGUAUUGAUAACGAGAAACAAACCCGGCCGUAGGGGGAGGGAAUCGGAAUAUACCAAGUGUAGAACCAUGGCUUGGUCUUGGGGGUUUAACUCUUCCCUUUGUACUUGUUCUUUUCGCUGGGGAAGCAAAUAGUGCCUCUCCCCGUCCACCCAGGGGUGUCACCCGCCUUUCCUCACCCACUCCCUUUCUCUUGAUCGCCCCCCCCAUCGCCCCCUGUCUUUCGACACUAGGUGGGAGGGGGCGAUCAAAGGGAAGGAGAUUGCAGCGCAGGCGCCGGUGACGCUGCGGUCCCAACUGCCUCCAUUCUCGUUUUCCGCGCCUGCCGAGGCUUUUGCUGCGACUGGAAACUUCUGGAAAUGGCAGCAGCAGCGACAAAGAAGAGCUUCUUUAUGGGGGGAAAGUGUGGUCAUUCAAUAAAAUAGAAGAAUUCCAAGCAUUUGUAAAGAAAAAACCAGACCUGAAAAGAACACGUGAUGCCCAAACACAGAACUGAAGAGAAUCAUCAAAAGCAACAGAAAAAAUGCCAGAGGCAUUUCAAACUGAAAGAAUAAAAAAAUAUAAUCAGGGAGAACAAUAAUGCUUCUAAUUAUCUGACCCUAACAACUCAAGUUCCAGCCUCUGUGUUUCUGAAGAAAUAAUGUACUAAUAGAGAUUCACAAUUUCAUGCACAAUCUUCAUCUGCACUACUUUGUAUAUGGUUUCAUUUUUGGUACUGACAUUUAAAAUAAAACAAAUUUUGAAAAAA